UACGUAGGGUCCGAGCGUUGUCCGGAAUUACUGGGCGUAAAGAGCUCGUAGGUGGUUUGUCGCGUUGUUCGUGAAAACUCACAGCUCAACUGUGGGCGUGCGGGCGAUACGGGCAGACUGGAGUACUGCAGGGGAGACUGGAAUUCCUGGUGUAGCGGUGAAAUGCGCAGAUAUCAGGAGGAACACCGGUGGCGAAGGCGGGUCUCUGGGCCGAUACUGACGCUGAGGAGCGAAAGCGUGGGGAGCGAACAGG
rnacentral:rRNA from 1 species